AUGAAAAAGAGUUUAAAGAAAUCGGAUGCUUAAAAUGGCAAUAGAUCCUAAAAUCGUAUUAUUUUGCGCUGGUGGCAAUUGGUCAAAACACUUUAGGGUUGAAAUAAAAUUGAAUAUAACAUUUCUUCUUUAAUAGGCCUCCACUAUUUCCAGAUUUUCGUCCUUUUGACUUUUCACUUUUAUAUAUAAACGAGAUAUUUUGCUGUCAGAUCAGGUUUUUUUGCGGACUGGAAAUCUACAUUUCUUUGUUGAAAGAGUCACAUUUCUGAUUUUGCGUCUUGCUCGAUUUAAUUAGUUUUAUUGAUUUGAAUAAGCAAUUAAUUUGUUUAAAGAGAGUUGCAGAAAUUGAAUGUUGAAAAUUCACCAGAUCUUAAUAUCGCGUAGUAUUUUGUAUUUUGGGCUUCUGGGAAUUCGCCAACUUACUUAGAAUAUUUUUGUUUGGUACGCCUCCGCGGUUUCCAGAUUUGCGUCUCAUUGAUUUUUCAUUUUAAUGGGCAAACAGGAUUUUUUCUUUGUAAACCACAUUUUGCUGUAGGAAAAAUCCGGUUUCUGGGCCUUUUGCUAGAUUUUACUAGUUUCAUUUAUGUGUAGGUAUUAGAAAAAGUGUGCGGAUAUUGAAACUUGUAUAUUCAAUAAAUCGUAAAACUCGUUAUUUGAAAAGUUUAGAAAAUUCGUCAAAAUGCUUUGAAAAUGUUGUUCUUCAAAUAUCUAAUUCAACUUUGCAAUUCGUUUGAUGAUUAAAUCGAUGUGUCAAAUUCUUCGGAUAAAACAGCGCUUUUUGACUUAACUUAGCUGCAAAAAUGGCACUAUCUUAAGUCUGUGUCUCAUUUUUUAAGGACACUCUAUAGUGAACAUAUACUCAGAAAUUGAACUAAUUUAGAGGUUAAUUGACCAAAAAGCUACAAAAAAUUUGGCUGAUAUUUUUUUUGAGAAUUUGAAUUACAUUUUUGAAAAAAAUGCAGUUUCGGAUAAAACUCAAUUCUGGACGAUCGAAGAUUAAUUUGGGAUAAAACUAAAUAACGUUCUCGGCAAAUUAUUUAAUGAAAAUUCGAUAAAAGUAUGCCUAAGAACCUUUAAAAGGCUUUUAACUGGCCGAUUAAUCCGCUCUGGGAAUCUCUGUAAUGAAAGGCCCUUUCGGCCGACAACAUAAUAACAGGAAAUGCCCAAAUUCCUUGGAGAUUUAACCAGUUUUCAGAGGUGGAACAGUUUAGGAAACAUUUCGCAAACUGGCCUGCUUCAGCGUCGCAGACAAAUCGAAUUGUUUUUCAAUUUAUUUAAUUUUUUACGGUCUUUUAAUGGAAACUUGCAAGAAAUGAGUUUGGCAGGCAAAACGCGAAUUGCGUUAGCCCAAAUGAAUGUUUUCCACGUUAAACUUUGGCAAGAUCGGCGGGUUUUUUAUAUCGCUCGCAGAAAAAUAAAUCAUGAGCGAACAGAUAUUUUGGAAAGGACCAUGUUUUCGGUGCCCACUUUUGCCCAGCGGCUGCUAUUUUUUCCAGCCGUUCGCGUACUUCGUCCAAAUAACAACGGGUCUAUUUUCACAUUCAGACAACAAUGUUUAUGUAACCCGUUUUCAUUCACGUUGGCAUUCGCUCAAAAUUGUGAAAAUUAAAAUUGUUCUCUAACACCCUACAUACAGCCAAUUCCGAGCGAAAUUAAUUCAGUCCGCUUUGUGAAAUUAAAACACUCCAAGUUCCUGUGCAGUGACAAAAAAAAAAAAAAAAUGAUCGUUCUCAAUUACGAUCGAACCUAUGGGGCGAAGAUGAACUAUUCGAAUGAACAUCGCUAUUAUUUCGAUAAGUUCUUGAGCUUGUAUUGGCCCUUGCGGACCACUCGCUUCCCGUAUUUGCCUUAUGAUCUUUUGGAUUUGUGGCCCACCGAACACCAUUUGAGAAAAAUUCGAGUGAGAAACAACUUGUAUGGGCUGUAUUCACGGAACUGAAGAUCUAUGGGACCAGAACUAGCUUAUUCUGGGGUUUUAAACCCUUACAACUGUUGAUGUGAAACGAAAUUUUUUUGUCGUUGUAAAUUAACCAAUGCAAUGUAUUUAAUCGGAACAAUAAAUUAAGUUCUCUGUUAAA